rnacentral:lncRNA from 1 species
CUCGGCAGCCGGCCUUAGCCUGGAGGAGCAACCGUGGUCCAGAGAGGCAGACGAAUGGCGGCCCUGCCCCGUGGGGGCUCCAGUUCUUCUCCAUCCUCCUCCAGGCUCCGCCCACCUGCUCCGUCUGCAUCCCAGGGCCUCGUGAAUCCCAGGGAAGCCAUGAGCUGCCACAUCACGCCCGGAAGGAAGCAGGCUGCGUUGGAGGGUAAAAGACGCACCAGCAACUUAGAAUUCGGGGCACUGCAGAGCUGGAAGGGGCCUCAGCGCUGCUCCCUCCGCCCCCUCAUUUCACAAACCAGAAAGCUGAGACCCAAAGCAAGGAAGGGACUCGGCCAAGGUCAGAGCUCAUCUGGGACCACACGAAGAUGAUAACUUGUUAGGAGUUUUGCAAAUGGGUUUGUCUACGGUUUGGUAGAAUUGAAACAUUUUUUCUAGUUCAAAUUUUCAACCGUGGCCAGCUCCCUCUAAGCCACAGUGGUGGAGCACUGUGAUUGAAAUUCAGCUGCAUAGCUCUUGCUGGGAAAUGCAGUGACGGAGCACAGGCGGCAGCUGCCUCCCACACUUAAGACAGGACUUCUAAAGCCACAGUCCCUGUGUGAGCCUCCUGGAGCUCAUAGUCCCUCAAAUGGCAGGCAGGUUUGUGAAUGUUUCUGUGUUCUGAACAUUUUUCUGAAAAAGGGUUCACAGCUUUAAUUGAUUUACAAAGAGACGUACAACAUGGAAGAGAUUGAGAAUCAUUUCCUUAAAGCAACAAGAAUCUAGGCUGGGGAGAAAUCAGAUUUUAGGAACGAGCUGCUAGGCACCGUAGCAGCAUUCAGAGACAUGAAAGCAUUGGAUUGUUUCCUAGAUUUAAGAGCAUAUAUUUUGCAACAUGAAAGAGCUUCUAUGCUCUAGAAUGUAAGUUCCUCAAGGAUAGGGCUCUAGUCUAUGUCUUCACCUAAGGUAUCCUUAGAUCUUGGAUCAGUGCCUGGGCGUAAUCACAGGUGCGAACACACAUGUGAUUUAUUUGUUAGUCUGCACAGCACUUCUCUUUCCAUGCUCACUCCUGCCUGGUCUCCAGCAGUCAUGAGAAUUGCCAUCGUUAGGGAAACCUGAUGCAAGAAUUGCAAGAAUGACUUUGUAAUUCAGUGUUGACACUCAGGACCUUUUUCAUUUUGUGUUAAAGACUGAUCACUCUGGGAAAAUCAAGGCAGUCCAGCCAAACCCCAAGUCCCAAUCAAAUGCAGUUUGUAUUGAACCCCACGACUGCCCAGCACCUUUGGGAAGCCCAUUGCUUUCUAUGCAGAUGCAGAGCUCCCAGAAAGCACAGGUGGAUGUGUUCAGCUUGCCUUGUGACGUGAAUGCCUGAAAACAGAACAGGACUAAAAA